GACAGAGGGUGCAAACGUUGUUCGGAAUUAUUGGGCGUAAAGCGCGUGUAGGCGGCUUUGCAAGUCGGGUGUGAAAGCCCUCAGCUCAACUGAGGAAGUGCGCCCGAAACUGCAGAGCUUGAGUACCGGAGAGGAUGGCGGAAUUCCCCAAGUAGAGGUGAAAUUCGUAGAUAUUGGGAAGAACACCCGUGGCGAAGGCGGCUCUCUGGAACGCAACUGACGCUGAGACGCGAAAGCGUGGGGAGCAAACAGG
rnacentral:rRNA from 1 species